rnacentral:rRNA from 1 species
CUACGGGGUGCAGCAGUGGGGAAUAUUGCACAAUGGGCGCAAGCCUGAUGCAGCCAUGCCGCGUGUAUGAAGAAGGCCUUCGGGUUGUAAAGUACUUUCAGCGGGGAGGAAGGGAGUAAAGUUAAUAACUUUGCGCAUUGACGUUACCCGCAGAAGAAGCACCGGCUAACUCCGUGCCAGCAGCCGCGGUAAUACGGAGGGUGCAAGCGUUAAUCGGAAUUACUGGGCGUAAAGCGCACGCAGGCGGUUUGUUAAGUCAGAUGUGAAAUCCCCGGGCUCAACCUGGGAACGGCAUCUGAUACUGGCAAGCUUGAGUGUCGAAGAGGGGGGUAGAAUUCCAGGUGUAGCGGUGAAAUGCGUAGAGAUCUGGAGGAAUACCGGUGGCGAAGGCGGCCCCCUGGACGAAGACUGACGCUCAGGGGCGAAAGCGUGGGGAGCAAACAGGAUUAGAUACCCGAGUAGUC